GGCAAACGCUGGCGGCGUGCUUAACACAUGCGAGUCGAACGGAAAGGCCCUGCUUUUGUGGGGUGCUCGAGUGGCGAACGGGUGAGUAACACGUGAGUAACCUGCCCUUGACUUUGGGAUAACUUCAGGAAACUGGGGCUAAUACCGGAUAGGAGCUCCUGCUGCAUGGUGGGGGUUGGAAAGUUUCGGCGGUUGGGGAUGGACUCGCGGCUUAUCAGCUUGUUGGUGGGGUAGUGGCUUACCAAGGCUUUGACGGGUAGCCGGCCUGAGAGGGUGACCGGCCACAUUGGGACUGAGAUACGGCCCAGACUCCUACGGGAGGCAGCAGUGGGGAAUAUUGCACAAUGGGCGGAAGCCUGAUGCAGCAACGCCGCGUGCGGGAUGACGGCCUUCGGGUUGUAAACCGCUUUCGCCUGUGACGAAGCGUGAGUGACGGUAAUGGGUAAAGAAGCACCGGCUAACUACGUG
rnacentral:rRNA from 1 species